rnacentral:rRNA from 1 species
GAAACCUGCCCAGCAGAUUGACUAGCGAACCCGUUUAUCAUGUGCGGGGAGCGGAUUCCGGGGCGACUCGUCGGCCCGUGCCCUCUCCUCGAGCUCGGGGGACACGCCUUAGGGGGUGCCUCUCGGGCAAAAUAACGAACCCCGGCGCGGUCCGCGCCAAGGAACAUCAAUACAGCGUGUGCGCCUCCCGUGCCCGGUUCUCCGGUGCAUGGGGCCGCACCCCGUCUAUAAUAUUACUAAAACGACUCUCGGCAACGGAUAUCUCGGCUCUCGCAUCGAUGAAGAACGUAGCGAAAUGCGAUACUUGGUGUGAAUUGCAGAAUCCCGUGAACCAUCGAGUCUUUGAACGCAAGUUGCGCCCGAAGCCUUCUGGCCGAGGGCACGUCUGCCUGGGCGUCACGCAUCGCGUCUCCCCCCCACCCCACCCGUGUGGGAAAAGGGGGAGGAGGAUGGCCUCCCACGCCUCACCGGGCGUGGCUGGCCUAAAAACGGAGCCUCAGGUCACGGACUGCUGCGGCGUAUGGUGGUAUACAAGGCAUUGCCUAGGAAGCAUCGCGUCGCGCAGCAC